UACGUAGGGUGCAAGCGUUUGUCCGGAAUUAUUGGGCGUAAAGAGCUCGUAGGCGGUUCGUCGCGUCGGCUGUGAAAACCUGAGGCUCAACCUCAGGCCUGCAGUCGAUACGGGCGGACUUGAGUACUGCAGGGGAGACUGGAAUUCCUGGUGUAGCGGUGAAAUGCGCAGAUAUCAGGAGGAACACCGGUGGCGAAGGCGGGUCUCUGGGCAGUAACUGACGCUGGAGGAGCGAAAGCGUGGGGAGCGAACAGG
rnacentral:rRNA from 1 species